CCCCUCUCAGGAUGGCAGCUGGAGAGUUUCUAGUACUCUACCAGCCUCAACUACAGAAGGGAGAGUCCAGCAGAGGCCUACCCAUUCCAUUCUUAGCUUAGGCAGUAGCUAGCGAGUGGAAGACAAUCUGCUACAAGU